CCUACGGGGGGCAGCAGUGGGGAAUAUUGGACAAUGGGCGAAAGCCUGAUCCAGCCAUGCCGCGUGUGUGAAGAAGGCCUUCGGGGUGUAAAGCACUUUCAGUGGGGAAGAAAACCUUUGGGCUAAUACCCUCGAGGAAGGACAUCACCCACAGAAGAAGCACCGGCUAACUCCGUGCCAACAGCCGCGGUAAUACGGAGGGUGCGAGCGUUAAUCGGAAUUACUGGGCGUAAAGCGCGCGUAGGCGGUCUGAUAAGCCGGUUGUGAAAGCCCCGGGCUCAACCUGGGAACGGCAUCCGGAACUGUCAGGCUAGAGUGCAGGAGAGGAAGGUAGAAUUCCCGGUGUAGCGGUGAAAUGCGUAGAGAUCGGGAGGAAUACCAGUGGCGAAGGCGGCCUUCUGGACUGACACUGACGCUGAGGUGCGAAAGCGUGGGUAGCAAACAGGAUUAGAUACCCCUGUAGUC
rnacentral:rRNA from 1 species